rnacentral:rRNA from 1 species
CUUUAGACCUCAAAUCAGUCAGGACUMCCCGCUGAACUUAAGCAUAUCAA